rnacentral:rRNA from 1 species
UACGAAGGGGGCUAGCGUUGUUCGGAAUUACUGGGCGUAAAGCGCGCGCAGGUGGUCUUUCAAGUCAGUGGUGAAAGCCCGGAGCUCAACUCCGGAAAUGCCAUUGAAACUGUGAGACUUGAGGACGAGAGAGGUGAGUGGAAUUCCCAGUGUAGAGGUGAAAUUCGUAGAUAUUGGGAAGAACACCGGUGGCGAAGGCGGCGCUCUGGACCGAGACUGACGCUGAGGCGCGAAAGCGUGGGGAGCAAACAGG